UGGUACGACUAUACGGCAGCAACAUUCGCAGAUACGUUCUGCAUCCGUUAGCUCGGAGCAUGGCCGAUCGUGAGCCACGACCGAGCACCACCGGUUGCCCUAAGUUUCAGCCUGGGCCGCGGAUCUCGCCGGUUAUGUUUCCACUCGGUGCCGUCGAUCGGCUCGUUUCCACGCGAAAUCUCGGCUGCCAUUAAUUCAGCGCCGGCUGACAGCACUCCGAGCUUCCUCUUCCAGCGAUCCGUUCGCUCGCCCUCGACAACCCCCGUCGAAAGAGAGCCGGCAAGAAGAAAGAGAGAGCCGGUGGAACAGCGCAAAAGAGAGAGAGAGAGAGAGAGAGAGAGAGAGAGAACGGUCUCGACGCGAUGGGUCGUCGGGGUGACCGGCAAUUUGUUUCUAAAUUUAUUACCGAUCACCGAUAUUCCGUUCUCCAUGCCCUCCUCCUCAACCCUUCCUCGCUUUGCGUCGGUGAUAUCGAAUUGGGAUCGAGACUCGAGUGCUUGAAACCAUCCACUAGGAUGAUUCGUUGGUUCCUGCGGCUGGGGGUUGGUACCAGGGGUCAGUCUCGGGGUUACUGUAAUAAAUAUCGGGAAAGCUGAUUGCGAAGCUCGAUGCGUUUCGGACCAUCCUGGAUCGUGGCUGCCUCGAGAAUGUUGUCCCUUUUGUUGCCUUCCAUGCGCAACCCUUUAUCUUCGCCAGGAGAACAGGCACCCAAAGCGAACGAAUUUUUCUCAAUGCGGAGUUACAUUUAAUCCAACUGUUUCGAUCUCCAGUCUGCCAGAAAUUGAACAACUGUUGCCUUUAGAUGCCUUUGCGAUGCAUCGAUCAUUUCCUCAAACAUCCCUACAGUAGAGUACAAGCUUUCCUUUCUGGAUUGAUGCAAUCCUUCGGCUGCUGUCACUGCAACUGUGACAGGAAGUCCCAGGAUAUUUGGACGCUAUGGACAACUGACGGUACACUCGCAGACUGCUGAAGCAGCGCGCUCAACUUUACUAUUUUUUUUAAUUUCAAGGCGUAAACAUAAUCUACUAAGUAUAAUAAAGCUACACGAGUAUAAUAAGCA